rnacentral:rRNA from 1 species
UACGUAGGGUGCGAGCGUUAAUCGGAAUUACUGGGCGUAAAGCGUGCGCAGGCGGUUAUUUAAGUCAGGUGUGAAAGCCCUGGGCUUAACCUAGGAAUUGCGCUUGAGACUGGAUAGCUUGGAGUGCGGCAGAGGGAGGUGGAAUUCCACGUGUAGCAGUGAAAUGCGUAGAGAUGUGGAGGAACACCGAUGGCGAAGGCGGCUACCUGGACAAUUGCUGACGCUCAGGCACGAAAGCGUGGGGAGCAAAAGGG